CCUACGGGAGGCAGCAGUGGGGAAUAUUGCACAAUGGGGGAAACCCUGAUGCAGCGACGCCGCGUGAGUGAAGCAGUAUUUCGGUAUGUAAAGCUCUAUCAGCAGGGAAGAGAAUGACGGUACCUGAUUAAGAAGCCCCGGCUAACUACGUGCCAGCCGCCGCGGUAAUACGUAGGGUGCAAGCGUUAUCCGGAUUUACUGGGUGUAAAGGGAGCGUAGACGGCGAAGAAAGUCUGAAGGGAAAGCCCGGGGCUCAAACGCGGAACUGCUUUGGAAACUUUUUUGCUGGAGUACCGGAGGGGUAAGCGGAAUUCCUAGUGUAGCGGUGAAAUGCGUAGAUAUUAGGAGGAACACCAGUGGCGAAGGCGGCUUACUGGACGGUAACUGACGUUGAGGCUCGAAAGCGUGGGGAGCAAACAGGAUUAGAUACCCUUGUAGUC
rnacentral:rRNA from 1 species